rnacentral:lncRNA from 1 species
GUGUGGGCUACGCACAAAUCCUAAAGCGCUGAUGAGAUCUUUUCACGGAUCUCAAAGCCUAUUUCUCCACUACUCAAAUUCAAACGAACGCGAGCCUGCGCGGGAUUCGUGAGGAGGAUAUAAAUUUAGAGGCGGCGACGAAGGAAGAUGCCGAAGGGCUUCGGUGCAGCACAUCGGGCCGAUGGCGAUCGUCCGCCUCAAGAAGCACUGGCAUCGUUGAUCCGGAGUGUAAGCAACCUUCUCCGCCCGUCAUCAUCUAUUCUAAUCGCUGAAUCCCAACUUCUUUCUUCUUCUUCUUCUGGAUCCAAAUACACUGUCCAUCUAGGGUUUAUAUGGUCUUUUCCCAACUCAAGAUUCCGGAUUCGCAUUUAGAUCCAUCAUCUAUUCUAAUUGCUGAAGCACUGCCUGUCUAGGGUUUUAUGGUGUUUACCCAACUCAAGAUUGAAGAAUCGAAUUCAGGUUCAUCUGUGACUAGGUCUCAUGGUUUGUAAAGCUGGUCGUCCAAUUCGAUCAUUUUCUUGGGAAGAAAGCAACGAGAAUCGAUUGCCGUCGGUACCUCGUCCUGUGUAGAUAGGGUUUUACCAAGUUUACCCAACCCAAGAAUCAAGAACUGCCUUCAGGUUUGCUCGGGAUGCGAUUCCACACUCGGAUUUGAUUUUUUUUUUUGUUUUGUUUUGUGUAUCGCAUUAAUACCUCUUGUAUUAAGUUCUUCUUAAUUUUUGAUGCAGAAAUCAGGAUUUGGAUGUGGUUUACUCAGAUAUCUUAAAAGGAUUUCUAGAGUGUUCAAGAGGUUUGAGCUUGCCUUUUGACAGUCUGUCAAUCAAUCAAAAUAUGCAUGGUGGUAAGCUUGCCCUUUUCUAUGCUAGUUUGAGAUGGUAAUUUAUGUUCUUGUUUAAGAAAUGCAACCCUUUAAACUAUGUAGAGGUAAUCUUCUGUGGUAUAAUCUUCCCAUGGCUCAUAUGGGAUGUAAUCUUUUGUUUCGUAUCGGACGAUCUGACAUAUUCAUGAACAAAAAAAAAUUUCAAUGACAGUCUAAUGCCGUAAGAAAUGUUUGUGCAUGUCUUAUUUUGUACAAUUCCAAGAAACUUUAAGAAAUGCCACAAGUCUUUGAGAAAGGAUAGGAAUUGUAUACUUUAAGAUUAUUCUGUUGUCCACCUUCAGAACUGUUCUUUUCUGAGCUAAUGUAGGUUACUAAAGGAUGUUUUGUGUAAGUUCAUUCACAGGUUCUGCCUAUUAUAUAACAUAUUUUGUUGUUUACAAGAUAAUUCAACUUCAUGCUACCUCAAUUGUCAUUGUUAAAUAUGCAAUUUUCAGUUUGAUUUAGUGAUCUUUAACUUGUCUAAAUUAAAUUUCUGCAUAUCUUUACUAAUCCUAAUGUUAAUAAUUUUUUUUUUAUAAAGAAAUAUGGUGCAAGUAAUAUCCUUCAUUUCAAUCUUAUUCCGCGAGGCAUAGAGGUUGUUGUUAUGGUUGUAGCAGUUCUCCAGUAAGAUGGAUGAUGACUGAUAGAUUUUGGACAAAGUAGAGCUUUGGAAAAUUAUCAAUCUAGAAAGUCAAUGUCCUUAAGCAAUCAGCAUGAUUAAGCGACUGAUGCAUGAAAAUACAUUUUACGGUGAAUCCUAGUAAAAGCUCUAAAAAGGGUACUUUACUUACUAAGAGAUGUUUUCAAAGUUGAAUUGUUCUUUCUUGGCAGCACAAAUGUGAUGAGAGUUUCUGAUGGCUAAUGUCUUCUUGCAGCAACUUUGCUGUUGUGUUCAUUGUAUUCAACAGCUAAGAACAAGUCUUCUCAUGCUUGCAUAAGAUCUUUCUCCAUCGCAGUUAUUAUUUGAUUAGGCAAUGUUUUACUGAUACAUCAUGGCAGAGAGGAUUCAAUUUUUUAGUUAAACAAAUAGAUUUAUUCCACAAACUUGGGAGUUGUUUUUGUUGAUAUCUGUCAGACAAGCACGAGACUGAGAACUUCUUUUGAGCUCUGUUGAAGCUCCAUUGAAGUUGGUACUAAGGCCAAACAUGAUCUGGCUAUUUAGGUCUUGGGAAGAGAGAGAGGGAAGACCACUUUUCCAUCGUAGAAAAUUGGAGACGUAGGAUAUAACAUUAGAUUAGGUUUGGGUGUUGUGCAUGUGGAUAUGUACUAUAUAUAUGACAGAUUGAACAUUGGAUAUUACAAAAAGUCAUUCCUGUAUGUCAACGAGGAACUGUUGACAUACAGGAACUACAUUGAUGAUUACUCUGCUCCCAGCUGGGACUGUUGGUGAUCGAUCUUUUCUUCUUGAGGGCUACAAGAAGAAGGAACAGGAAGGGGCGAGAGAGAACCAUGUAGUGGGAGGACACCAACUCCACUCAGAUAAUAUUUUGACCCACGGAGAAGAUACUGCCAGCCGGCGGAAGAAGUGAUGAUAAGGUUGCAUCAUUUGCUUUAGUUUAAGGUCUUUUCUUUCAGCGUGAAUCAGGGGAUCGGGGUUGGCCCCCAGAACUGGUCAGAGGCACGGCAUCACAGAUUGUAUCUUUCGACCGUUUUUUUUUUGACCGGUGGUUGGAGGAGUCAAACUCACACAACUGUGACGGCAUCCAUGCCGAUUUCUCUUCCGAAAAAAUAAAUGUCAGUUGGCUCGAAAAAGCAAUCUCACGUUUGCCGCAGCUGCAACGUUCUUAGUUACUUCUCAGCGUUUGGAUUUUUACAAUUUUUUUAAAAUUAUAUUGAUAUUUUUAUAAUUAUAACAGUAAAAUAACUAGAUUCAUUUAUCAUAAUAAUAUCAGUUUUAUCGAUAAAAAUAUAAAAAUAAAAAAAAUAAUUUUAAUAUUUAGUGACGAACGAGAACGUAGUUGGCAUCAAUGUUGAUGCAAUUAUUUGAUUGCUUUUGAUGACGAUAAGUUCUGAUCGUGACACUACCUGCUUUUACGAGGAGCAUAUCAUCAGUCAUAUCGUUGUCCACCUUAUGUUAUUUUGCAUCUGCAUUGAUACGAACAUAGUUGUCGAGUGAAAAUUACAUUAGCGUCGAUGGUGGUGGCCAUCGUUACAUCUAUGGCGAAGAUGAUGAUCGCUUCGUCGUUGACUUGUUGAGUGGAUCUUAGUCUUUAUCUAAAGCUAGGGUCAUCGGAGCUCCUACCAUCAAUUCUGACACCAUCACUUGUUGCUCCUUAUUUGUGUCGAUAUUGACGUAGUUGCCAAGUAACAUAAGGGUCGCUUAACGUUUACAUCAGCAUUGACGUAGAUGCAGCACACCGUCACUCAACAUUUGUAUUGAUAUCAAUAUAGAUGUAAAGUGAUGGAAGGGCCACUGAAUCCAUCUUAUAGGUCAACAGUGAAUUGUAGACAUCGUGACGACCACUACCAUCAAGUAACUGUGUGGGCGUCGACACAACUACAAAGUGACACGAGACAGCGACGAUAAGGUUAACGAUAUGCUUCUAGUAGAGACGGGUGGUGUCACGAAAAGAAUAGAUCUUAUUGUCAUCAAAUGCAGCCCGUCGUCUGCCACCCCUCACGUCAUCUUUUAAAUGUCAGUAUAUAUAUUUUUUAAAGUAUAAAAACCAAAACGAUAAAAUUAACUAGGUACAAUUAGCCCGAGUUGGUAACUUCAGCACCGAGAUGCUGAGCUAAUUGUGAAUGCAAAGGUUUCCGCUUAAUGCUACAAAGGUUUCCACUCUUCUUGCUGAGCUGCAUACUGGCAGUGUCCCAUCAGAUACAUUCACCCAACCAAAGAUGUCAAAUUCAAUUCAGAUAUCAUAUCACCAAGAAGACAAAAGUGUCGACUUAAAUGUUCUACAAUAGACGUCUUUUAUUAUCAAGUAGCAGUUCAGGACACAAACCAGCACUAUAAUUAUUGGCCCCCUCCCUUUGCCAAGCGUUGCAUCAUUAAACAUCGAAUAAGUACAUAAAAUAGAUGUA